GAGGAGAAAUGGUGGAGUCUGCCCCCUCCCCUUGCACUUCCCGGAGAAGAGGGAGACAGUAUAGAUUUAGAACAGUGGUUUGCAGAAGGUCAUAGUUCAGAGGCCGCAGAGGGGAGAAGCUGGGAAAUAUUGGGUGAAGAUCAGGAGCAGGAAGAAGAAGCACCAGGGGAGAGACAGCUGACAGACUCAGUGCCUUUAGAUAGCAUUCCUGACCCCCCUCUCCCAGGAUACGGUGUGCUUUGAGAAUAGCAGAACAGAAAGCUCAGAGGCAGAAAAACACAGGUUAGCUGGCGUAGGGAUGACGUAGAAUAGAAGAGACAGAGGGGGUGGGACUUUACUUGGAGUAAUAAUAAUAAUAAUAAUAAUAUUUUUUAUUUAUAUCCCGCCCUCCCAAGCCAAAGCUGGGCUCAGAGUGGCUAAUAACAGUAAAAAUAACACAGCUUACACAAAAUCACAAUCAAUUAAAUGAAAUACGUUCUAAAAUCAAUUCAGAGUCAAAUUAAUGGCAACCAUUGGGCUAGAGUUCUAUGAGGAUUGCAGAAGGAGAGAGGGGGUCAGACUGUGCCUUGGCCAAAGGCCUGGUGGAACAGCUCUGUCUUGCAGGCCCUGCGGAAAGAUGUCAAGUCCCGCAAGGCCCUAGUCUCUUGGGACAGAGCAUUCCACCAGAUCGGGGCCACGGCCGAAAAAGCCCUGGCUCUGGUUGAGGCCAGCCUAACCUCCCUGUGGCCCGGGACCUCCAAGAUGUUUUCAUUUGAAGAGCGUAAGGUCCUCCGUAGGACAUACCAUUAUCUAAGAGAAACGGCAUUUCUAUGUUCUCUCUCUGUGAAUAUUGAAUAAAGGACUCUUCUUGUUUUUCUACUUCUUGGCUGCCACCGUGGGAGGGAUCGGAUUCCCUGAAGCCUUGACACCAAGGUAUUUUAUUCUUUGUAGAUUUCCCUGUUGUGUCAAUAUUUAUUUUAUUCAAUUGAUUCUCUCCCCCACCAGUUGUGCACAGCUUUGGGAUGCUAUAUGAAAGGUAGUACAAAAUAUUUAAAUUACUUAAAAAACCAAUACUUAAAAACAAACUUCGUGGGUAGUGAAGAGAGGAGGGUUAAAACCAAGUUCGUUCAACAGUCUGAAUACUGGAUGUCAAUGAGGGAAUGCCAGCGUGAAGAAUGCUUAACAAAGAAAAGUCCGUGGGAGUUCGUAAUUGAUGAUUGAGAGGAGUUUUUAUUAAUUAGUACAUUAGCAGAUCACUAUCGUGCUCCAGUUUUAUGUGUUAAAAAAAACCCUGAGAACUUAACUCGGCAGGGGGAAAUGCCACUAAUGAUUUAUUGUGCAUGCUUAUAUAAGGAACACAACAUUUAAGUUCCUAAAAAAUAUGAACCAUUAAAAUUAAAAAGGAGAGACAGAUUUCAUGGAUAAGGUGAUGCUAAAGACAAUGAGAUAGUUGGCUGCAGUGCAAGUGGGGAGAGGGCUGUUGUGCUCAGGUCCUGCUAGUUGCAAGCUUCCUAUGGGCACCUGUUUGGCCAGGAUGAGAACAUGAUGCUGGACCAGAGGGAACUUUGACUUGAUCCACCAGGACUCUUCUUAUCUUGAUUUCAUCUUACUUUCGGUGAUUUUCCGACUGCAAAAAGCAAGUGGAUUAGAUGUUCUCCUUCAACCCUCUAGAAAUCUGCUCACUAUGUUUUGUUCCAAGUUUACCUUUUCGAUGGGGCAAGGCUGCAACCAAAUCCGUAUGAUGACCUUUUUUGGGGGGGUGGGGGUGGAGUUGGCUGGUUAGAAAUCAGAAGCUGGCAAUUUUAUCAUUUUGUCCCGACAUUGAUCUCUAACCAGAUGUGAGUCAUUUUUCACAGGUAUUAAGAGCCUUGCUGUUUCAUAAACUGAUAGGUAGCAGCAGAACAACAGAAAUUAUGGGGUGGGAGACGGGGUAUCAUUCCAUCUAGCAGGCUGAAAAGCUUGCACAGACGGAACUUUUGUCGUAGUGUGACAUUGAAUCCCCCCCCCCUUAGUGUGUGUUGAUUUUAGUUAUUGGCUGCAUAUAAAGAAGGGCCAAAGAGGACCCUUCCACCAAUUUGGCUGUGGCCAACUUCCAUACCAA